rnacentral:rRNA from 1 species
GACGAACGCUGGCGGCGUGCUUAACACAUGCCAGUCGAACGGAAAGGCCCUGCUUUUGUGGGGUGCUCGAGUGGCGAACGGGUGAGUAACACGUGAGUAACCUGCCCUUGACUUUGGGAUAACUUCAGGAAACUGGGGCUAAUACCGGAUAGGAGCUCCUGCUGCAUGGUGGGGGUUGGAAAGUUUCGGCGGUUGGGGAUGGACUCGCGGCUUAUCAGCUUGUUGGUGGGGUAGUGGCUUACCAAGGCUUUGACGGGUAGCCGGCCUGAGAGGGUGACCGGCCAAAUUGGGACUGAGAUACGGCCCAGACUCCUACGGGAGGCAGCAGUGGGGAAUAUUGCACAAUGGGCGGAAGCCUGAUGCAGCAACGCCGCGUGCGGGAUGACGGCCUUCGGGUUGUAAACCGCUUUCGCCUGUGACGAAGUGUGAGUGACGGUAAUGGGUAAAGAAGCACCGGCUAACUACGUG